AAUUUUCAUUUUGAUUUUAUUUUUUCUUGUGAUCUGCGAUUUGGAAUUAAUUGUCUAAAGGUUGUGUUACAACUUGCUUAGAAUUUCAGUUUUUAAGACCUAAAAUCUGUCACUUAUGUAGAUGAAAAGUUUGGGCCUCGGAUAAAAUCAUUUCAUUUCAUAUUAUUUUGCAUCUCCCUUGUUAAUUGAUUUUACCCCUGCUAUUUAUAAUGAAGAUUUUACUACUUUCUUGAUGAGGUGGCAAAUGUUUAGCUUUCUGUUUCACUAUUCUAAUCUUGGUUGGAGAUAGUUGGCUGGUGUUAUUCUCGUAUUUGCUUUUUCUCUCUUGUUUUUGCUUCUAUUAGGUGCUGAAGUGAACUAUCUUAUCGAAUCUGUGGUUGUCUUAGCUGAGGUUGUGGUAGGAUCAGCAGCAUGGUUGGGUUGAGGUAUUUCUUGUGUCUGUGCACAGAGAAGAGAGAGUGAUACUCGUCCAUCAUUUGAUUCAACCCCUUCCUAGCUGAGGAUGUGGCAAGAUUAGCAACAUGGUUGGGUCGAGGUCUUUCUUGUGUUUGUACAUAGAGAAGAGAGACACUCAUCCAUCAUUUGAUUUAACUCCUUCCCAGGUUUUCUUAGCUAUUAAAAGAUGUAUUGAGUUCACAACAAUUUUGCUUUAGUGUUUCUUAUUGCUGUUAAAAGAUGGGCAAAUAUUUAUUUAAGGAUACUAAUAGUGUUUCUAGUAGUUAAACUGCUUGAGAAUAAGCUUUAUUGUGCCUGUAUGUACUUUUGUAUUCCAACAUUCAUUUGAAGGUUUAAUUUGUGC